rnacentral:misc_RNA from 1 species
AAGUCGUAACAAGGUUUCCGUAGGUGAACCUGCGGAAGGAUCAUUAACACGAUACAAAUGUAUCAACCAAACGCGCUCUUACCUUAAAGGUAUAAUUGUGGAAAUUCAGUAAAGCUUGAUGUGGUGAGGAUGAAGACAUCAAGUGAUUGGUCAAAAUGUAAGUUUUGAUCUGAGUUUUCAUAGUUACAUCUUUAAGGCUUUUUUUUUUAAAAAUCCCUUUAUCCUCAAAUAUUAACCAUAUUAACCCCAAUUAACAACAAACUUGACUGACAUUUCUAACUCGAAAGGGUUAAGAAAUUAUAAAACGCUGUACAACUCUUAGCAAUGGAUAUCUUGGUUCUC